UGCUGAUCCAGUAGUGGCAGUAGUGGCAGGAGCCGGUUUAGCAUCUGGUUUCCAAUCCUUACCGGUGGCAGACUUGUACUCGGCCUUCAGUGCUAAAAGUACCUUCACCUCAGCAUCUAUCACUUCCUACAACACAUUAUAAGUAUAGUCUCUGACCUUGUUUCCCUGGGCUGCGACCUUGUCAUAGAGGUCAGCAUCUCCCGUAGUUGCAGGAGUGACUGCAGCAGCUGGAGCUGGUUUAGCAUCUGGUUUCCAAUCCUUACCAGUGGCAGAUUUGUACUCGGCCUUCAGUGCUAACAGGAUUUUCACCUCGGCAUCUAUCUGGUCUCUGACCUUGUUUCCCUGGGCUGCGACCUUGUCAUAGAGGUCAGCAUCUCCCGUAGUUGCAGGAGUGACUGCAGCAGCUGGGGCUGGUUUAGCAUCUGGUUUCCAAUCCUUACCAGUGGCAGUUUUGUACUCUGCCUUCAGUGCUAACAGGGUCUUCACCUCAGCAUCUAUCUGGUCCUGUAACACACCACCAGCAUUGUACACCCACUCGAGACAUUUAUUUGAAAGUCAAGUACAAGAAUGACUGAACAGUAUUAGGUUCAGAAGAUACCAUUCUCUGGAUUAAGAGGAAUUUGUUUAUACAGAGAUCAUUGUCAUCAAAAUACAAGAUGCCCAAAAGGACCCUGAGUGAAAUGGGAGACCCCAGGGUCACAAAAAACCAAAACUUUAUGGUGAAGCACGUUUUAAUAAGACUCUUACAACCAUAAAGAGUAUUUCCUUCUACCAUUUUUGGGUCCAAAGAAGAAAACUUUUGGAAUUUGCCAAUUAAAUACUUUUCGCCCAAUCCCUCGGACCUUUGAACAUGGAGAACAUAUUUCUGUAAUUCCAUUUCCGACAAUCUAUCCUGAGUGCGUAUCGGUAAGAUAAACUGCAUUUCCUAUUCGGGAAAUCAAGACAUUUUUGACUUAUUGUUUCUGUUCUAAUGUCUAAAAUAGAAUAUAAAUAAAGGAUUAACAGUAAAUGAA